rnacentral:rRNA from 1 species
CCCUUAGAUGUUCUGGGCCGCACGCGUGCUACACUGAGUGGAUCAGCGGGUCAGGUUGCGCGAAAGCGUUUCCUAAUCUUUAAAUCCGCUCGUGAUGGGGAUUGACGGUUGCAAUUUUCUGUCAUAAACGAGGAAUACCUUGUAAGCGCGGGUCAUCAUCCCGCGCUGAAUACGUCCCUGCCCUUUGUACACACCGCCCGUCGCUCCUACCGAUUGAGUGGUCCGGUGAGGCUUUGGGAUCUGAGCGGAAAGAGCGUUUCGCCGUUUCUGCUCGGAAAACUCAGUCGAACCUUAUCAUUUAGAGGAAGGAGAAGUCGUAACA